AAGUGAUGAUGAAAUUGAGAGAGAUGAUGAAAAGGGAGGAUGGGAGGGAUGAGUAAUAAAAGUGAAAACAAAAACUUGAAAGUGAAAAUAAUUUCAAAUAGAUUUCAGUUUUAAAAUUUUGUUAUCACUUUUGCUACUCCUCCCUUCCACCUCUCAAUCUCAUUUCUACUCUCUUUCU
rnacentral:miRNA from 1 species